rnacentral:rRNA from 1 species
GACGAACGCUGGCGGCGUGCCUAAUACAUGCAAGUCGAACGAACCGCGACUAAGUGCUUGCACUAAGUCAAGGUGAGUGGCGAACGGGUGAGUAACACGUGGGUAACCUACCUCAUAGUGGGGGAUAACAGUCGGAAACGACUGCUAAUACCGCAUAGGACAUAGGAUCACAUGAUCCAGUGAGGAAAGGUGGCGCAAGCUAUCGCUAAGAGAUGGACCCGCGGUGCAUUAGCUAGUUGGUAGGGUAAAGGCCUACCAAGGCGAUGAUGCAUAGCCGACCUGAGAGGGUGAUCGGCCACAUUGGGACUGAGACACGGCCCAAACUCCUACGGGAGGCAGCAGUAGGGAAUCUUCCGCAAUGGACGCAAGUCUGACGAAGCAACGCCGCGUGAGUGAAGAAGGUCUUCGGAUCGUAAAGCUCUGUUGUUAGAGAAGAACAGCGCAUAGAGUAACUGCUAUGCGUGUGACGGUAUCUAACCAGAAAGCCACGGCUAACUACGUG